UACGUAGGGGGCAAGCGUUGUUCGGAAUUACUGGGCGUAAAGAGCGCGCAGGCGGUCGAUCAAGUCGAGUGUGAAAGCCCCCGGCUCAACUGGGGAGGGUCAUUCGAUACUGAUCGACUCGAAGGCAGGAGAGGGUAGUGGAAUUCCCGGUGUAGUGGUGAAAUGCGUAGAUAUCGGGAGGAAUACCAGUGGCGAAGGCGCUGGGCUGGACGGUCAUUGACGCUGAGGUGCGAAAGCGUGGGGAGCAAACAGG
rnacentral:rRNA from 1 species